rnacentral:rRNA from 1 species
GACAGAGGAUGCAAGCGUUAUCCGGAAUGAUUGGGCGUAAAGCGUCUGUAGGUGGCUUUUCAAGUCCGCCGUCAAAUCCCAGGGCUCAACCCUGGACAGGCGGUGGAAACUGCCAAGCUGGAGUACGGUAGGGGCAGAGGGAAUUUCCGGUGGAGCGGUGAAAUGCGUAGAUAUCGGGAAGAACACCCGUGGCGAAGGCGGCUCUCUGGGACGGUACUGACGCUGAGACGCGAAAGCGUGGGGAGCGAACAGG